AGAGUUUGAUCCUGGCUCAGGAUGAACGCUGGCGGCGUGCUUAACACAUGCAAGUCGAACGAACCUUCGGGUUAGUGGCGGACGGGUGAGUAACGCGUGAGAAUCUGCCCUCAGGAGGGGGAUAACGGCUGGAAACGGCCGCUAAUACCCCAUAUGCCGAGAGGUGAAAUGAAUUUCGCCUGAGGAUGAGCUCGCGUCUGAUUAGCUUGUUGGUGUGGUAAAGGCUCACCAAGGCAUCGAUCAGUAGCUGGUCUGAGAGGAUGAUCAGCCACACUGGGACUGAGACACGGCCCAGACUCCUACAGGAGGCAGCAGUGGGGAAUUUUCCGCAAUGGGCGCAAGCCUGACGGAGCAACGCCGCGUGAGGGAUGAAGGCCUCUGGGCUGUAAACCUCUUUUAUCAAGGAAGAAGAUCUGACGGUACUUGAUGAAUAAGCCACGGCUAAUUCCGUGCCAGCAGCCGCGGUAAUACGGGAGUGGCAAGCGUUAUCCGGAAUUAUUGGGCGUAAAGCGUCCGCAGGCGGUCUUGAAAGUCUGUUGUUAAAGCGUGGAGCUCAACUCCAUUUCAGCAAUGGAAACUAGAAGACUAGAGUGUGGUAGGGGCGGAGGGAAUUCCCGGUGUAGCGGUGAAAUGCGUAGAUAUCGGGAAGAACACCAGUGGCGAAGGCGCUCUGCUGGGCCAUAACUGACGCUCAUGGACGAAAGCCAGGGGAGCGAAAGGGAUUAGAUACCCCUGUAGUCCUGGCCGUAAACGAUGAACACUAGGUGUCGGGGGAAUCGACCCCCUCGGUGUCGUAGCCAACGCGUUAAGUGUUCCGCCUGGGGAGUACGCACGCAAGUGUGAAACUCAAAGGAAUUGACGGGGGCCCGCACAAGCGGUGGAGUAUGUGGUUUAAUUCGAUGCAACGCGAAGAACCUUACCAGGGUUUGACAUCCUGCGAAUCCCUUGGAAACUUGGGAGUGCCUUCGGGAGCGCAGUGACAGGUGGUGCAUGGCUGUCGUCAGCUCGUGUCGUGAGAUGUUGGGUUAAGUCCCGCAACGAGCGCAACCCACGUCUUUAGUUGCCAGCAUUAAGUUGGGCACUCUAGAGAGACUGCCGGUGAUAAACCGGAGGAAGGUGUGGAUGACGUCAAGUCAUCAUGCCCCUUACAUCCUGGGCUACACACGUACUACAAUGCUACGGACAAAGGGCAGCAAACUCGCGAGAGCUAGCAAAUCCCAUAAACCGUGGCUCAGUUCAGAUCGUAGGCUGCAACUCGCCUACGUGAAGGAGGAAUCGCUAGUAAUCGCAGGUCGGCAUACUGCGGUGAAUACGUUCCCGGGCCUUGUACACACCGCCCGUCACACCAUGGAAGUUGGCCACGCCCGAAGUCGUUACUCCAACCCGCAAGGGAGGAGGAUGCCGAAGGUGGGGCUGAUGACUGGGGUGAAGUCGUAACAAGGUA
rnacentral:rRNA from 1 species